rnacentral:rRNA from 1 species
CCCUUAGAUGUCCGGGGCCGCACGCGCGCUACACUGAAGGAAUCAGCGUGGCUUUCUCCCUGACCCGAAAGGGUUGGGAAACCCGUUGAAUCUCCUUCGUGAUAGGGAUUGGGGCUUGAAAUUGUUCCCCAUGAACGAGGAAUUCCCAGUAAGCGCGAGUCAUAAGCUCGCGUUGGUUACGUCCCUGCCCUUUGUACACACCGCCCGUCGCUACUACCGAUUGAACGGUUUAGUGAGGGCCUCGGAUUGGUCUCGGCCCGCUCUUUACCGGGCGGCGCCGUUGGUCGAGAAGACGCUCGAACUUGAUCGUUUAGAGGAAGUAAAAGUCGUAACA